CAACCCUCAAGCUUUGCUUGGUCUUGGGCUCUGCCGGCAACGGCUUGCCUUAAAAUCAGUGGCGGUGCCAUCGAGCUCUACGCGUAGUAAUUAAACCCUCGCGACAGAGUCUCGGUGGACGCUGGCCAGCAACCCCCAAUUUUCUAUGG
rnacentral:misc_RNA from 1 species